rnacentral:sRNA from 1 species
AGUAAAUAAAAAUUGCAGGUGUGUUAAGUCCAUAUCUGCACUAGCUACCAAUAGUCAACAGACUAAAAUUCAAAAGUACUUAAGAGAUAUUUGCUAAGAAAAAGUUAAAAAUACCUUAUUAGACCUGACCAAGAAUCAGAAGUUAAUAGCUGCAAAAGGGUUACAGGAAUGUGAAAAAUACCACUUUUCAGAUCUUGCUAGGCAACUAACUUCUAAAUGAAGGCUGGCCAUGGAGCCUGUAGUUUAUGGCAAACAAAUCUCUAGAUGGAAAGCAUCACAAUUUCUCUGUUCCUCAGUCCUCUCUAGCAACAGCCUCUAAGUUCUGUUGAGUUUGCACCCCAAUACUUCAACAGUUGCUUUACAAGAAAAACAGCAGGUGUUUAAUCAGUCACUUGACCACAGGGGGAGAUGCUGUGUGUAUACACGCUGCACCCCCUCCAUUUAAAGUAGGUCAUGUUUUACAAAUGCCAGGAAAAGGAGAAGACGUAACUCACUGUGAAAGUUAGAAUCUCCACAGUUAAAAAGACAUUGUUAAUGUCAAAUGAGAGCAUCUUGCAUGAGGGAAAACGAAGACAGGGAGAGUCAAGCAGCACAGGCAUGCUCAGGCAUGCUCAGGCAUGCUCGGGUGUGUUCGGGUGUGCUCGGGUGUGCUCGGGUGUGCUCAGGCACAACCAGCGCCAGUGUCAGAUGGGAAAACUGUUUUUCUUCUUGUGGCGCUAGGGAUGAAACCCAGGGCCUCAUACAUGGCAGGCAUGCUUUAUUAAUCACUGAGUCACGUUCAUUCAGAGCACCCUCCACACUGUUUGAAUCUUUAACAAACUAGGAAGUCAAAACUCUGGGUGGUGAUUCAAUCUCUGUAUAUUUUACAUUUCAACUGUGUGGUGUGAGGACUAAGAAGCAACAGACACAGACCUGAUCGUAAUAAUAAGAUAGUGACUUAUUAGUUUUUAUUAAUGAGUGAAAACAAUGCUCACAUGAUAUUACCAAUUUAAAAUCUUCCCACAAAGUAGGGAUAUGAAAAUUUCCUCCAUUUGCAGUUAGGACAAUAAUUUUCAGACUUCCAAUUUAGAUACCAGCACAGCAGUCAAGUCCAAUCUCAGAUUCACAUUACCUAGAUAAUUCUAGCAGAGGUCAAAAGCUAAUUAUCAAAUUCAUUAAUUAUUAAAUUAUCAAGUAACUGAAAAGGGCUCAAACUUAAUUAAAGCUACUAGUAAAAUGAACUGUUUCAUUAGCUAUGUCUUAGCUUUAGAAUUUUACACAAUGAGCUUUGAUAAAAAAUUAAAUCAAACCCGGAAUUAAAAACUAAUCAGAAUCUGGCAUCUGCUUAUCUUCUCCCCCACCGUAGAGGCUACACAGAGUAACUCUCAGCUGCAGCUGUAGACUGCAACAUGAUGAAUACCCUGCACCAACAUCAAUACCCUUCAGAACUGACACAGGGUCCAAAGUUACAUUUAACGUUGAAGAAAAAUUAGGCUUUGAAUCACCUCUCUGCGCCUUGGAAUAUGGGGGGAUGCAUCUCCAUAUGGAAA